AUAGAGCAACAGCUUCUAUGCAGUUUCUUGUUAGCCCCGGUAAUCUUUCUGUACUCGCCAAAGUUAGAGAAGAUUAUCGGGGUUUUCGCUU
rnacentral:antisense_RNA from 1 species